ensembl:lncRNA
CCUUGCCCUUAUUUGGUCCUUCCUGUUCCUGUCCCCAUUUAGUUAUAUUAGUUCCAGAUGCUCCUUGUUAUUAGUUAUCCUCCUCAGCUGUCUGCCCCUCGUUAUAUGCCCUAUUUGAGUUCUUGCCCAUUCUGUUCUCUCUUGUCCGUAAUUAUCGCAACCUUUGAUACGUGUUUUCCUUGUUCCCUGGAAGCGGGUUUUUAAGUGUUUUUGCUUUCCCAUUUGUUUCUCCCCGUGGUAUGGAUGUUGCGAUUUGCUCAAGCCUACCGGCCUGUGUUCAUUCAAGCCUGAUGGCCAUGGCUCACUCAGGCCCGUUCCCGAGUCAGGCCCGCCGGCCGCGCCAUUGUUAUGCCCGCCAGCCGCCUAGUUCACCUGUAAUCAGAAGAGGAGAAAUGACUGGCUCAGGGCCCUCUUCCUCACCCGAGAGCACGCCCCAGAGCUCGCUCCAGUGUCGGCUCCAGCCCCAGAGCUCACUCCAGUGUCGGUUCCAGCCCCCGAAUCUAGCCCAGUGAGGGCUCCUGUUCCCGAGUUUAGCCCAUGGAGGGCUCCUGUUCCUGAUUUUAGCUCACGAAGCCCUCCUGUUCCAGAGUUAACCCCUCGGAGAGCUCCUGUUCCUGUGUUUAGCCCAUGGAGGGCCUCUGAGCCCGUAAUGUUCCCCAAGUAUUUUUUUUUUGGGGGGGGGGGUAGUAGGGCUCCAGCCAUAGAGGCGGUGGCCUUGGAGGCUGCUCUACCAUGACCUUCUGACCUGCUUGCUCCGCCAUGGCUUCCUGAGUCCCCUGAUCCACCAUGGCCUCCCAAACUGUCUGAUCUGCCAUGGCCUUCUGAGUUCCCCGCUCUGCCAUGACUCCCUGAGCUGCUUACUCCACCAUGGCACCCCAAACAGGUAUCGCUGUCCCGUGUCUGUCCUGAGGGACCUCCAGAGUGCCCACUCCCCCUACCUGUUGGAUUUUGUGUGGGGAGGGGGGAGUAAUGUCAGACUCUGUUCCUUGUUUUGUGUGUUUUGCUCCCUAUGUGCUUCCUUGCCCUUAUUUGGUCCUUCCUGUUCCUGUCCCCAUUUAGUUCUAUUAGUUCCAGAUAUUCCUUGUUAUUAGUUAUCAUCCUCAGCUGUCUGCCCUAUUUGAGUUCUUGCCCGUUCUGUUCUCCAUUGUGCGGAAUUGUUUGUCAACCCUUGCUACAUGUGUUUUCCUUGUUCCCUGGAAGUUAUUAAAGCCUAUAUGUUUGAAUUCCUCUCCUUGCUCCUUCGUCUCCAUGUUCCUCACAGUAGCAAACAGUGACCCUUUCAUGCUUGCACCUAUUAUUUGCAGUAUAUUUAUGUAGAAAUAACAUUAUCCACAUUUGCAAAAACUGUGGCUUUAGGUAAAUGAAUCCCAAAUCACCCAACAACAUGAAAAAAU